rnacentral:sRNA from 1 species
UGCCAUGUCAAUAAAAGCCUGCAUACGCUGGUGGAGUUUACACCAUAGGAAUAAUCAUGUAUCAAAUUAUUUUAUUUUACUGAUUAAAUCAAAAUCCAUGGACCUAUAAUAGGCGUAGUUGCUGGACUCUGGAUUGUCCCCGGAGUUUUCCACUCCUCACAAACAAAAUACCUCCACAACACCUCUACACACACUCUAUAUUUUAUACUAUAGCCCGAUCGCGGGCAGUAACACCAAGAAAAUGGCACAGAAAGCCGCCAAAACUCUCGCAACCCGCAACACCAGCCUCCUCAACCGCACGCACCUAACAACCCUAUCCCUCCACCUCAUCUACUUGCUCCUCCACUUCCUCUUCCACCGCCCCCGCUCCCUAACCCUCUACCUCAUUUUCACAACCCCGACCCUCGCCAUAGAAUUCUACCUCGAGCGCCUGGGUCGCCCGCGCUAUAAAACUCCUGGUGCUGGGGCCGGCGGCGGAUCCACCCUUCGCUCUGCUGGCGAAGACCUAGACGCACCUGGUCUCACAGAGUAUUUUUGGGAUGUGAUGUAUUGGACGUGGGGGUGUAUGGGGGCUGUGUGUGUCUUUGGUGACCGCGCGUGGUGGUUGUGGGUGAUUGUACCGUUGUACUCGGCGU